rnacentral:rRNA from 1 species
CCAGACUCCUACGGGAGGCAGCAGUGGGGAAUAUUGCACAAUGGGGGAAACCCUGAUGCAGCGACGCCGCGUGAGUGAAGAAGUAUUUCGGUAUGUAAAGCUCUAUCAGCAGGGAAGAAAAAAGACGGUACCUGACUAAGAAGCCCCGGCUAACUACGUGCCAGCAGCCGCGGUAAUACGUAGGGGGCAAGCGUUAUCCGGAUUUACUGGGUGUAAAGGGAGCGUAGACGGUAUGGCAAGUCUGAAGUGAAAGCCCAGGGCUUAACCCCGGGACUGCAUUUGAAACUGUCAGGCUGGAGUGCAGGAGAGGUAAGUGGAAUUCCUAGUGUAGCGGUGAAAUGCGUAGAUAUUAGGAGGAACACCAGUGGCGAAGGCGGCUUACUGGACUGUAACUGACGUUGAGGCUCGAAAGCGUGGGGAGCAAACAGGAUUAGAUACCCUCGUA